rfam:Gossypium raimondii Chr05_contig_150, whole genome shotgun sequence.
UAUUAAAAUUUUUAUUUAUUUCUACUAUUAAAAACUAGUGUAAAUGAUAAAUUAGCCAGACAGUUACGCUUGACGUGCCACCUGUACUUUAUGAUGUACAGGGACUAAUUUUUAACAACAGAAAUAGAUGAAAAUUUUAGUA